rnacentral:tRNA from 1 species
GCGCAGGUGAGCCAGGGUGCGGAGCCGCCGGAGAUCCUCGGACUUCUAAUCCGACGGUCGCGGGUUCGAAUCCUGCCGGGCGCG